rnacentral:sRNA from 1 species
CUUCGUUGGAUACCACUACCUGGGAAUAUCCAGAUGUCUGCAGACAUUAUUUCGGCUCCUUUGGGCAGUGGUCGAGUCUCCUUUUCUCCUUGGUGUCUCUCACUGGAGCAAUGAUAGUUUAUUGGGUGCUUAUGUCAAAUUUUCUUUUUAAUACUGGAAAGUUUAUUUUUAAUUUUAUUCAUCACAUUAAUGACACAGACACUAUACUGAGUACCAAUAAUAGCAACCCUGUGAUUUGUCCAAGUGCCGGGAGUGGAGGCCAUCCUGACAACAGCUCUAUGAUUUUCUAUGCCAAUGACACAGGAGCCCAACAGUUUGAAAAGUGGUGGGAUAAGUCCAGGACAGUGCCCUUUUAUCUUGUAGGGCUCCUCCUUCCACUGCUCAAUUUCAAGUCUCCUUCAUUUUUUUCAAAAUUUAAUAUCCUAGGCACAGUAUCUGUCCUUUAUUUGAUUUUCCUUGUCACCUUUAAGGCUGUUCGCUUGGGAUUUCAUUUGGAAUUUCAUUGGUUUAUACCAACAGAAUUUUUUGUACCAGAGAUAAGAUUUCAGUUUCCACAGCUGACUGGAGUGCUUACCCUUGCUUUUUUUAUUCAUAAUUGUAUCAUCACACUCUUGAAGAACAAUAAGAAACAAGAAAACAAUGUGAGGGACUUGUGCAUUGCUUAUAUGCUGGUGACAUUAACUUAUCUCUAUAUUGGAGUCCUGGUUUUUGCUUCAUUUCCUUCACCACCAUUAUCCAAAGAUUGUAUUGAGCAGGUAAGGCACUGUAUACCCUCUCUGUGUGAUUGUGUACACUUUCAUGUAUUUAUAGUAGGUAGGGUGAUACAGUGGCAAGAUAUAACAUCAGAUAGGCCUGGGUUUUAAUACCAUCUCUGCUAUCUACUCCAAGUAUGGGAAUUUAGGCACCUUCCCUUUUCUUUCUGAGCUUUAUUUUUCUUUUCCAUUAAAUAGUAUAAUAAGUACCCCCAUUUGAUUUUUAGAUGGACUCUGAGAUAAUGUACUACAUGCCAGGCACCUUGUGGUACUCAAAUAAAUGUCUACUAUUAUGUACAUAUAUUUCUCUUUUUGUGGGGAACUGGUACAAGUAGUUCUUAUGUGGUUAUAAAACCUCACAGAGAAUACAUUGAAGGAACUCCCUAUUUUUAAAAGCCUAUAUCAGGAAUGCCCUGGAUAAACUAGGGUCUUAGUUUAUCAGACCCUAAUGAUUAAUCAGACUCUCAUUCUUAUAUUGAGUGACAGGCAGCAAAACAAAAAAAGAGUAUUUGACUGUUAAAAAAAGAGAGAGAGAUGUCCUAUGAGUCACCAGAGAGUUAAAAAAAAAAAAAAAAAAGGAGAGACAGAGUAAAAGAAAAAAAUAUUUUAAUAAAAGAUUGCCAUAACUAAUAUUUUCUUUGAUUUAACUCAUCAAAAACUUAGCAAUAGUAUAGUCUUUACUUAUAAGUGACUGAAGAGUUUCUCACAAAAAACAACAUUUCACAAGUGACUUUCUGGUCAGAAGAAAUUCCUCUUAUAGAGUGCAAUGGAAUAUACAAUGUGAUUUAUUACAGCUGAAUUAUAACGGUUAUUUCAGCAAAAUAAUGUUAAUAGUGUUCUCAUCUUUAUAAGAGAAAUAAGUUUGAAUUACUGCUAUUAUAGCAGCUUGGAAAUGUUCUUAUUUUCUUGAUUUCCUUGACUCCAGAAGUUCUUUGGCAGCCAAAUGUUUGCUGGAAAUCUCCCUGAUAGGAACAAACUCAUACAAAGCCUACUCCCUUGGGAAUAGGAAUAUUUGUGGUAUUUGUAUUUGAAAGAAAAGAUAAAAAUUCUGAGUAAUUAACUUUUUUUUAAGAUACCAAACCAAAAUGGAGAAAAGGGUCAUGAAAGGAAGUAGAGAUAAAUUCUUUUCAAUUUAGUGAUAGACUAAACAAUGAUGUAGUAGGUGAUAGACAUACUCUCACCUUAUUCUGUCAUCUUUACUUCAAAAGUGCUUACAGUGCUUCAGAGGAGGAAAGCAAGAGAGCCAGAGAGGGUAAAAUAACACUGAAUUAAAUUAGCUCUUUAAAUCUUUAAAGCGGACUGGUAUUUUCCUUGAACCACAUAAAGCAAUGCUUUCUCGAUCUAUCUGUGGUGAAGGGCAAAAUUGUCUUUGCUGUUGCUUUAAUGUUAAAUAAAUUGCAGGCUGAUACUUUUGUAAAACAGAAUAAAAUUGUGGCAAUGUCAGAUUUCUGUAAAAGUUUCUGAACACUUUCGAUUUCUAUACUUACCUCAUUGAAAAAAUACGUAACAAGUAGCUGUGGAUGGGCACUAGUCCACAAACCACAAUUGGAGUAGCACCUGUGUUCAAAAUAAGCAGAAGACAUUCCAUUUUAUGAAUGUGUGUACUGAAUUUGAUUUUUAACAUGACCUCAUUAUCUUUCUUGGAUUAGAAUUUUUUAGACAACUUCCCUAGCAGUGACACCCUGUCCUUCAUUGCAAGGAUAUUCCUGCUGUUCCAGAUGAUGACUGUAUACCCACUCUUAGGCUACCUGGCUCGUGUCCAGCUUUUGGGCCAUAUCUUCGGUGACAUUUAUCCUAGGUAAGGGCUCUUCUCUUGACCAGCAAGAUGUGCCAAGCAACAAAUGACUGUGCAAGCAGCAUUUUCCACGUGCUGAUUCUUAAUCUAAUUAUUGUGGGAGCUGGAGUGAUCAUGGCCUGUUUCUACCCAAACAUAGGAGGGAUCAUAAGAUAUUCAGGAGCAGCAUGUGGCCUGGCCUUUGUAUUCAUAUACCCAUCUCUCAUCUAUAUAAUUUCCCUCCACCAGGAAGAGCGUCUGACAUGGCCUAAAUUAAUCUUCCACGUUUUCAUCAUCAUUUUGGGCAUGGCUAACCUGAUUGUUCAGUUUUUUAUGUGAAAUACCUCAACUGUUUUUUUCAAGAGCUCUCAUGAUAUUUUGAGCCUUGACAACAGUUCUAUAUAAAUUCACUUGUAAAUGCUGCUGUUGUGUAAUUCUAAAUAUUUUCUAAGAUAAUUUUAAAGCAAGGGAAAUAGUAGCCCCUUAAUAAGUAUUUUUUUAUUGGGGUGGGGAAAGGGGCAAAAAGAAUGAUCUUAGUGUCUUUACCUUUCUCAUAUUAACUCGCCUCUUUAUUCUGUGGUCUUUUCUGAAUAGAAAUGUAUGCCCUAGGAAGAAAUCAUGCUGGGUUUUGCUUUUAGAGAUAAAAAGUGGUGGAUUUAUUUUGCCUGCAGUAGAUUCUCAGGUGUCAGAGCAGCAUAUUGCCAAAUCCUGCUUCUGUUUUAUGUUUCAGUGUAUUCACUUUCAUUUUCUUACUUAUUAGACCAUUUCUGCAGUUUGCCCAAACCUCUACUGUUUGGGACAGUAAGCCAAAUACCUCAUUUUUAAAAAGAAGUUUUCAUGGCAUCAGUGUUAAUAAAGUACAUUUUUAACUGAGUCUUAAUCUCUAUUCGAAGAAAAAGUAGAGACAAGAGUAAUGUCAAUGUAAUCCCCAGGAUCAUGAAAUGUAUACAAAAUAAAUAAAGUAGGAGAGUUUGUUGCUAA